AUUGAACGCUGGCGGAAUGCUUUACACAUGCAAGUCGAACGGCAGCACGGACUUCGGUCUGGUGGCGAGUGGCGAACGGGUGAGUAAUGUAUCGGAACGUGCCCAGUCGUGGGGGAUAACGUAGUGAAAAUUACGCUAAUACCGCAUACGAUCUACGGAUGAAAGCGGGGGAUCACAAGACCUCGCGCGAUUGGAGCGGCCGAUAUCAGAUUAGGUAGUUGGUGGGGUAAAGGCCCACCAAGCCAACGCUCUGUAGCUGGUCUGAGAGGACGAACAGCCACACUGGAACUGAGACACGGUCCAGACUCCUACGGGAGGCAGCAGUGGGGAAUUUUGGACAAUGGGCGAAAGCCUGAUCCAGCCAUUCCGCGUGCAGGAUGAAGGCCCUCGGGUCGUAAACUGCUUUUGUACAGAACGAAAAGGUUUCUACUAAUACUAGGAGCUCAUGACGGUACUGUAAGAAUAAGCACCGGCUAACUACGUGCCAGCCGCCGCGGUAA
rnacentral:rRNA from 1 species